rnacentral:lncRNA from 1 species
UCAUGGUGGAAGAUGAAGCAAACACAUCCUUUUUCACAUGUUGGCAGCAAGGAGAAGAAGGAGAAGUACGAGUGGAGUAAGGAAAAAAUCCCAUAUAAAACCAUCGGAUCUCUUGAGAACUCAGUCUCUAUCAUGAGAACAGCAUGGAGGUAACUGCCCUCAUGAUUCAAUUACUUCCCACUAGGUCCCUUCCAUGACACAUGGGGAUUAUGGGAACUAUGAUUCAAGAUGAGAUUCUACCAGAGGUACAAAGAGGAGCUAGUACCAUUCCUUCCGAAAAUAUUACAAACAACUGAAAAAGAGGGACCCCUCCCUAACACCAAAACCUAGCAGAGACACAACAAAGAAACAUAACUU